CAUUUUCGUAUGGAAACUAUACAUGGAUACAUCAAGAAGGUGUACAAUAACUUGAUUCGACUUUAAGCUGUAUCAGCAACAAAGUCUUGUAUCACUGUGCGUAUCGCAACAGGAAUUCUUACUGAGUGGGUACUUCCAUCUGACCAAGUCAAGCUCCCAAAAGUGUAUCCGCCUUGAACUCUCUGCCUUGUCUUAAAUGUCACUGUAAAUGUCGCUCUUCUACUGCCGCCUUGAGUGAAAUUGAUCACUGAUGGUUCCACAGACACAUCUAUCCCCGCCGGAGCUUCAGUCACUAAAUGAUAAGUUGCUUCCGCUGGCCCAACGUUAGUUACAGUGCGUUGAAGAAUGACAUGGUCCAUGAGGUCUGGCACAGUGAUCGACGGGAGGUUGAGGUUCAGGUUGUACGACUUGCAACCAUCUGAUAAUUCAAGUGUGCAGUUGAAGAGCUUGUUGUACUCCCUUGCAUCCAGGUCGUAAACAAGGCCAGGGUCAACAGCUCUCUCCGGGUCCAUGUGGCCACCACCAAAGUCAAAUGGGUCGGCUAGUUUCCUCGGUACUCCGUUUGCUUGGAUGGGCAUACCAAACCGAUCGGUUACGUAUGCUGCAACCAAUGCCAAAG
rnacentral:lncRNA from 1 species